rnacentral:rRNA from 1 species
AUUGAACGCUGGCGGCAUGCCUAACACAUGCAAGUCGAACGGAAACGAUGGAAGCUUGCUUCCAGGCGUCGAGUGGCGGACGGGUGAGUAAUGCUUAGGAAUCUGCCCAAUAGUGGGGGACAACCAGGAGAAAUUCUGGCUAAUACCGCAUACGCACUACGGUGGAAAGUGGGGACCUUCGGGCCUCACGCUAUUGGAUGAGCCUAAGUCGGAUUAGCUUGUUGGUGGGGUAAUGGCUCACCAAGGCGACGAUCCGUAGCUGGUCUGAGAGGACGAUCAGCCACACUGGGACUGAGACACGGCCCAGACUCCUACGGGAGGCAGCAGUGGGGAAUAUUGGACAAUGGGCGCAAGCCUGAUCCAGCAAUGCCGCGUGGAGGAUGAAGGUUUUCGGAUUGUAAACUCCUUUCAGCAGGGACGAAGCCGCAAGGUGACGGUACCUGCAGAAGAAGCCCCGGCUAACUACGUG